AUUGAACGCUGGCGGCAUGCCUUACACAUGCAAGUCGAACGGUAACAGGGAGCUUGCUCCGCUGACGAGUGGCGAACGGGUGAGUAAUGUAUCGGAACGUACCAUUGAGUGGGGGAUAACGUAGCGAAAGUUACGCUAAUACCGCAUAUUCUCUCCGGAGGAAAGCAGGGGACCGCAAGGCCUUGCGCUCUUUGAGCGGCCGAUAUCAGAUUAGCUAGUUGGUGGGGUAAAAGCUCACCAAGGCGACGAUCUGUAGCGGGUCUGAGAGGAUGAUCCGCCACACUGGAACUGAGACACGGUCCAGACUCCUACGGGAGGCAGCAGUGGGGAAUUUUGGACAAUGGGGGCAACCCUGAUCCAGCCAUGCCGCGUGAGUGAAGAAGGCCUUCGGGUUGUAAAGCUCUUUCGGCCGGGAAGAAAUCGUAUCAGCUAAUACCUGGUGCGGAUGACGGUACCGGCAUAAGAAGCACCGGCUAACUACGUG
rnacentral:rRNA from 1 species